AUGCACGCUGGCGGCGUGCCUAAUACAUGCACGUCGCGCGAACAGACGAGGAGCUUGCUCCUCUGACGUUAGCGGCGGACGGGUGAGUAACACGUGGAUAACCUACCUAUAAGACUGGGAUAACUUCGGGAAACCGGAGCUAAUACCGGAUAAUAUAUUGAACCGCAUGGUUCAAUAGUGAAAGACGGUUUUGCUGUCACUUAUAGAUGGAUCCGCGCCGCAUUAGCUAGUUGGUAAGGUAACGGCUUACCAAGGCAACGAUGCGUAGCCGACCUGAGAGGGUGAUCGGCCACACUGGAACUGAGACACGGUCCAGACUCCUACGGGAGGCAGCAGUAGGGAAUCUUCCGCAAUGGGCGAAAGCCUGACGGAGCAACGCCGCGUGAGUGAUGAAGGUCUUCGGAUCGUAAAACUCUGUUAUUAGGGAAGAACAAAUGUGUAAGUAACUAUGCACGUCUUGACGGUACCUAAUCAGAAAGCCACGGCUAACUACGUG
rnacentral:rRNA from 1 species